rnacentral:rRNA from 1 species
CCUACGGGUGGCAGCAGUGGGGAAUAUUGCGCAAUGGGGGAAACCCUGAAGCAGCAACGCCGCGUGGAGGAUGAAGGUUUUCGGAUUGUAAACUCCUUUUGGUAGAGAAGAUAAUGACGGUAUCUAAUGAAUAAGCAACGGAUAACUCCGUGCCAGCAGCCGCGGUAUUACGGAGGGUGCAAGCGUUACUCGGAAUCACUGGGCGUAAAGAGCUCGUAGGCGGGAUAGCAAGUCAGCUGUGAAAUCCUAUCGCUUAACCUUAGAACUGCAUUUGAAACUGUUAUUCUAGAGUAUGUGAGAGGGAGGUGGAAUUCCUGGUGUAGGGGUAAAAUCCGUAGAGAUCAAGAGGAAUACUCAUUGCGAAGGCGACCUGCUAGAACAUAACUGACGCUGAUGCGCGAAAGCGUGGGGAGCAAACAGGAUUAGAUACCCCGGUAGUC